UGUUGAAACACUGGUUCCCAAAUAAUCACCAAAGUUAAGCAAUGUAAAGCCUGGCCAGUACCUUCAUGGGUGACCACUUGAGAAUAUCGGGUGCUGUAAG